CCCUUAGAUGCUCUGGGCCGCACGCGCGCUACACUGGUCGAUGCAACGAGUUUCUUUCCUUGGCCGACAGGCCUGGGCAAUCUUUGAACAUCGAUCGUGAUCGGGAUAGAUUCUUGUAAUUUUUGAUCUUAAACGAGGAAUUCCUAGUAAACGCAAGUCAUCAGCUUGCAUUGAUUACGUCCCUGCCCUUUGUACACACCGCCCGUCGCACCUACCGAUUGAAUGGUCCGGUGAAAUCUUCGGAUUGAGACUUUGUUUUCUUCACGGAAAACGCUGUUUUAAAAAGUUGAUUAAACCUUACCAUUUAGAGGAAGGUGAAGUCGUAACA
rnacentral:rRNA from 1 species